rnacentral:rRNA from 1 species
CGAAAUGCGAUACCUAGUGUGAAUUGCAGAAUUCCGCGAAUCAUCGAGUCUUUGAACGCAAGUUGCGCCCGAGGCUCGUACCGAGGGCAUGUCUGUCUGAGCGUCCA